rnacentral:lncRNA from 1 species
UGAAAACAUACAUGGCAUAAACCGAGAGAGCAAGUGCAAUGGAUUUCAAUAGGAUUUCUUUUCCUCCUUGCGAGAGAGCUUUUGCAUACCACCCAUUCAAUCUCCCAUGAAGCUUUUCUCGUAUAAAGUUCAGCAGCUCAAUCUUUGACCCUUGAAAACAUUCAGGUAGUCCUAGAUAGGUUCCAUCUCCUCCCUCUUUGUCUAUCUCCAAGGUUCGUUUGAUCUCAGCCCGGUCUUGUUCUGGUAUCUUUGCAUCAAAGAUGAUAGAUGAUUUCAGCUUAUUUAUCACCUGUC